UACAGAGACUGCAAGCGUUAUUCGGAUUCACUGGGCGUAAAGGGUGCGCAGGCGGCCAAGUGUGUGAGGCGUGAAAGCCUGGGGCUUAACUCCAGAAUUGCACCUCAAACUACAUGGCUAGAGCAUUGGAGAGGGUAGCAGAAUUCACGGUGUAGCAGUGAAAUGCGUAGAUAUCGUGAGGAAUACCAGAGGCGAAGGCGGCUACCUGGGACAAAUUGCUGACGCUCAGGCACGAAAGCGUGGGGAGCAAAAAGGG
rnacentral:rRNA from 1 species